UAACCUAACUGUAAAUUUUUACCCUGUAACCUGCUUACCCCAUUUCUUCUUAUCCUGGGGACCACCACUCUGCACUGUUUCUAUUUAUUCAACUUUAGUUUUUAAUAGUCUAUGUAUAAAUACAAUCAUAUAUUAUUUUUAUUUCUUUGUUUUGUUUCACAGAAUACCCUCCACAUUCUUCCAAAUUAGCACAAAUGGCAGUAUGCCCUUUUUGAAGACUGAAUAACACUUCACUGUGUAUGUUAUAUGUGUACUACACAAUUUCUUUACUCAUCUGAUGACAGGGUCUUACUAUCCUGUUGAUGCUGGCCUCAAACUCAAAUUUGUGGUAAUCCUGCUUUGGCCUUUUGACUGCUGGAAUUUCAUGCAUGCACCAAUACACCAGACUUAGUAUUGAUAAUGGUUAAUAUUAGAAGUGUCUGUCAAAAUGAAAACAUGAAUCUAUGCAUCAAUAAGCACUAAUAAAAAUUUUGAAAAAUA